rnacentral:rRNA from 1 species
UACGUAGGGAGCAAGCGUUGUCCGGAAUCAUUGGGCGUAAAGCGCGCGUAGGUGGCUCUAUAAGUCCGUUGUGAAAGUCAAAGGCUCAACCUUUGAAAGCCGAUGGAUACUGUGGAGCUAGAGUACGGAAGAGGCGAGUGGAAUUCCUGGUGUAGCGGUGGAAUGCGCAGAUAUCAGGAGGAACACCAACGGCGAAGGCAGCUCGCUGGGACGGUACUGACGCUAAGGCGCGAAAGCGUGGGGAGCGAACAGG